rnacentral:rRNA from 1 species
GACGAACGCUCGCGGCGUGCUUAACACAUGCAAGUCGAACGGAAAGGCCCUGCUUUUGUGGGGUGCUCGAGUGGCGAACGGGUGAGUAACACGUGAGUAACCUGCCCUUGACUUUGGGAUAACUUCAGGAAACUGGGGCUAAUACCGGCUAGGAGCUCCUGCUGCAUGGUGGGGGUUGGAAAGUUUCGGCGGUUUGGGAUGGACUCGCGGCUUAUCAGCUGGUUGGUGGGGUGGUGUCUUACCAAGGCUUUGACGGGUAGCCGGCCUGGGAGGGUGACCGGCCCCAUGGGCCUGCGGGUACGGCCCGGACGCAAACGGGGGCAAGCGGUGGGGAAUUUUGCCAACUGGGCGGAGUCCUGGUGCAGCACCGCCGGGUGGGGGAGGACGGCUUUCGGGUGGGAAACCGCUUUCGCCUGUAACGAGGCGUGAGUACGGUUACUGGGUAAAGAGGCCCCGCUAACCUCGUU